rnacentral:rRNA from 1 species
AUUGAACGCUGGCGGCAGGCCUAACACAUGCAAGUCGAACGGCAGCACGGCAGUAGCAAUACUGUGGGUGGCGAGUGGCGGACGGGUGAGGAAUACAUCGGGAUCUACCCUGUUGUGGGGGGAUAACGUAGGGAAACUUACGCUAAUACCGCAUAAGAACUGAGGUUGAAAGCGGCGGACCGCAAGGCGUCGCGCGAUUGGAUGAACCGAUGUCCGAUUAGCUAGUUGGCGGGGUAAAGGCCUACCAAGCCUGCGAUCUGUAGCUGGUCUGAGAGGACGACCAGCCACACUGGGACUGAGACACGGCCCAGACUCCUACGGGAGGCAGCAGUGGGGAAUUUUGGACAAUGGGCGCAAGCCUGAUCCAGCCAUGCCGCGUG